rnacentral:rRNA from 1 species
GAUGAACGCUGGCGGCGUGCCUAAUACAUGCAAGUCGAGCGAACAGACGAGGAGCUUGCUCCUCUGACGUUAGCGGCGGACGGGUGAGUAACACGUGGAUAACCUACCUAUAAGACUGGGAUAACUUCGGGAAACCGGAGCUAAUACCGGAUAAUAUGUUGAACCGCAUGGUUCAAUAGUGAAAGACGGUUUUGCUGUCACUUAUUGAUGGAUCCGCGCCGCAUUAGCUAGUUGGUAAGGUAACGGCUUACCAAGGCAACGAUGCGUAGCCGACCUGAGAGGGUGAUCGGCCACACUGGAACUGAGACACGGUCCAGACUCCUACGGGAGGCAGCAGUAGGGAAUCUUCCGCAAUGGGCGAAAGCUUGACGGAGCAACGCCGCGUGAGUGAUGAAGGUCUUCGGAUCGUAAAACUCUGUUAUUAGGGAAGAACAAAUGUGUAAGUAACUAUGCACGUCUUGACGGUACCUAAUCAGAAAGCCACGGCUAACUACGUG